CCUACGGGUGGCAGCAGUGGGGAAUAUUGCACAAUGGGGGAAACCCUGAUGCAGCAAAGCCGCGUGAGUGAAGAAGUAUUUAGGUAUGUAAAGCCCUAUUAGCAGGGAAGAAGAAAGACGGUACCUGACUAAGAAGCGCCGGCUAACUACGGGCCAGCAGCCGAGGUAAUACGUAGGGGGCAAGCGUUAUCCGGAUUUACUGGGUGUAAAGGGAGCGUAGACGGGUGUGCAAGUCUGAAGUGAAAGCCCGGGGCUCAACCGCGGUACUGCUUUUGAAACUGUAUAACUUGAGUACUGGAGAGGCAGGCGGAAUUCCUGGUGUAGCGGUGAAAUGCGUAGAUAUUAGGAGGAACACCGAUGGCGAAGGCAGCCUGCUGGACAGAAACUGACGUUGAGGCUCGAAAGCGUGGGGAGCAAACAGGAUUAGAUACCCCGGUAGUC
rnacentral:rRNA from 1 species